AACGAACGCUGGCGGCGCGUCUUAAGCAUGCAAGUCGGGCGGCAAGGACAGCAAUGUCCCUAGAGCGGCGGACUGGUGAGUAACACGCGGGUGACCUACCCCAUGGUUGGGGAUAGCCUGUGGAAACACAGGGUAAUACCGAAUGUGGUUGUGGAACCGAGGUUCCACAAAGAAAGGAGCUACGGCUCCGCCAUGGGAUGGGCCCGCGGCCCAUUAGCUUGUUGGGGGUGUAACGGACCACCAAGGCGAUGAUGGGUAGCCGGCCUGAGAGGGUGAACGGCCACACUGGGACUGAGAUACGGCCCAGACUCCUACGGGAGGCAGCAGCUAAGAAUAUUCCGCAAUGGACGAAAGUCUGACGGAGCGACGCCGCGUGGACGAUGAAGGCCGAAAGGUUGUAAAGUCCUUUUGUCGAUGAAGAAUAAGCGCGGGAGGGAAUGCCCGCGCGAUGACGUCAGUCGGCGAAUAAGCCCCGGCUAAUUACGUGCCAGCAGCCGCAGUAA
rnacentral:rRNA from 1 species